GACGAACGCUGGCGGCGUGCUUAACACAUGCAAGUCGAACGGAAAGGCCCUGCUUUUGUGGGGUGCUCGAGUGGCGAACGGGUGCGUAACACGUGAGUAACCUGCCCUUGACUUUGGGAUAACUUCAGGAAACUGGGGCUAAUACCGGAUAGGAGCUCCUGCUGCAUGGUGGGGGUUGGAAAGUUUCGGCGGUUGGGGAUGGACUCGCGGCUUAUCAGCUUGUUGGUGGGGUAGUGGCUUACCAAGGCUUUGACGGGUAGCCGGCCUGAGAGGGUGACCGGCCACAUUGGGACUGAUAUACGGCCCAGACUCCUACGGGAGGCAGCAGUGGGGAAUAUUGCACAAUGGGCGGAAGCCUGAUGCAGCAACGCCGCGUGCGGGAUGACGGCCUUCGGGUUGUAAACCGCUUUCGCCUGUGACGAAGCGUGAGUGACGGUAAUGGGUAAAGAAGCACCGGCUAACUACGUG
rnacentral:rRNA from 1 species